AUUGAACGCUGGCGGCAUGCCUUACACAUGCAAGUCGAACGGCAGCACGGGUGCUUGCUCCUGGUGGCGAGUGGCGAACGGGUGAGUAAUACAUCGGAACAUGUCCUGUAGUGGGGGAUAGACCGGCGAAAGCCGGAUUAAUACCGCAUACGAUCCACGGAUGAAAGCGAGGGACCUUCGGGCCUCGCGCUAUAGGGUUGGCCGAUGGCGGAUUAGCUAGUUGGUGGGGUAAAGGCCUACCAAGGCGACGAUCAGUAGCUGGUCUGAGAGGACGACCAGCCACACUAGGACUGAGACACGGCCCAGACUCCUACGGGAGGCAGCAGUGGGGAAUUUUGGACAAUGGGCGAAAGCCUGAUCCAGCAAUGCCGCGUGUGUGAAGAAGGACUUCGGGUUGUAAAGCACUUUUGUGCGGAAAGAAAUCCUUGACUCUAAUACAGUCGGGGGAUGACGGUACCGGAAGAAUAAGCACCGGCUAACUACGUG
rnacentral:rRNA from 1 species